AGCCUGAUGCAGCCAUGCCGCGUGUGUGAAGAAGGCCUUCGGGUUGUAAAGCACUUUCAGCGAGGAGGAAAGGUUGUUGGUUAAUACCCGUCAGCUGUGACGUUACUCGCAGAAGAAGCACCGGCUAACUCCGUGCCAGCAGCCGCGGUAAUACGGAGGGUGCGAGCGUUAAUCGGAAUUACUGGGCGUAAAGCGCAUGCAGGCGGCCAAGUCAGUCAGAUGUGAAAGCCCCGGGCUCAACCUGGGAAUUGCAUUUGAUACUGCUUGGCUAGAGUCCUUGAGAGGGGGGUAGAAUUUCAGGUGUAGCGGUGAAAUGCGUAGAGAUCUGAAGGAAUACCAGUGGCGAAGGCGGCCCCCUGGCAAGAGACUGACGCUCAGAUGCGAAAGCGUGGGGAGCAAACAGGAUUAGAUACCCUGGUAGUCCACGCCGUAAACGAUGUCUAUUAGGGUCUGUAGCCUUGAGCUGUGGGUUCCAAAGCUAACGCAUAAAUAGACCGCCUGGG
rnacentral:rRNA from 1 species